CCCGCCCCGUCCUCUGCAAGGCUGCCGCGGCCGGGGAGCCGCGGUCCUGCCACGUGUCCCGGCGCUCCUCCGCGCCCGCCGAGUGUCUCUAAAAGGUUGUGCAUGACCCACUAUGUGUGUGACCUAAAAUCCACCAUCAUCGUARCUGUUGGUUACUGUCAUUUUUGGUCUCAGUCAGAAGCUAUUGGGCAAGAUCAACUCUACUUGCAUUAUUCCCUCGCUUACCUGAGAGAGUGCCAAAGGACACGGGGUCAAGGGCCUUACUAGCAUAAAGCUAAGUCUUGCUUCUGUUGACAAAAGUGAACAAGAAUUUGCCAGACUGUUUAUGCUCUAUUUAUUCCUUUCCACAUGGAUUUCUGGGUAAAUUCUCUUUCUAUAAGGUCCUGUCAUUUGAAUGAUUCUGGGAAAUAAUCUCAGAAAGCCUCAUUCCUCUCUUCUUGAUUCGUUGCCUUAUCAUAAUUCCAGCCAGAAGAGCAUCUGGGUUUGCCUCCUCUGUAUUUCUCACCAAGCAACUUUCAAUGCACAGG
rnacentral:lncRNA from 1 species